rnacentral:rRNA from 1 species
CGUGCGGGAGCCGGGGGUCGACCGGGCCGCGGUCGGGAUGUCCGCAAGGAGGCGGGGGUCUGCCCGGGCACCUUCUCCAACCACCGCCCCCACCAAGGAGGCGGCCCUGCUCACCCC